GCUGAACGCUGGCGGCGUGCCUAACACAUGCAAGUCGAGCGAACCCUUCGGGGUGAGCGGCGGACGGGAGAGUAACGCGCGGGUAACCUGCCCUAUACACACGGAUAACGUACCGAAAGGUACGCUAAUACGGGAUAACGUCGUUGGAUGGCAUAUUCUACCAAUCAAAGCUCCGGCGGUAUCUGCUGGACCCGCGUCUGAUGAGCUAGUUGGUGAGGUAAUGGCUCACCAAUGCGACGAUCAGUAGUCGACCUGAGAGGGUGAGCGGCCACACUGGAACGGAGACACGGUCCAGACUCCUACGGGAGGCAGCAGUGGGGAAUAUUGCACAAUGGGCGAAAGCCUGAUGCAGCAACGCCGCGUGAGCGAUGAAGGUCUUCGGAUCGUAAAGCUCUGUCCUCAAGGAAGAUAAUGACGGUACUUGAGGAGGAAGCCCCGGCGAACUACGUGCCAGCAGCCGCCGUAA
rnacentral:rRNA from 1 species